AAUCAGGUCCGUCUUAUCGUUCCAAAUUAAUUUUGGGAAGGAAAGUCCGGACAGCGCAGAGUACCGUACUUCCUAACAGGAAGGCAAGUCGUUGGUGACGGCGACUUGACAGCAAGUGCAACAGAAAGCAAACCGCCAAGUUUCGAAUUCGUUCGAAAUUGGGUAAGGGCGAAAGGGUGGGGUAAGAGCCCACCGCUCGGUUGGUGACAAGCGAGGCAUGGUAAACCUUACGGGCUGAAAGACCAAAUAAGUGCCGAUUUUGGAGUUACUCGCUCCAAUCCUCCUCAAAGGGGUAUCGGCAUGGGUAGGUUGAUAGAUUCGGACGGCGACGUCAGAACCAGAUAAAUGAUAAGAGUCCCGAUGAAAAUCGGGAAACAGAAUCCGGCUUAUAAGACUUGAUACACU
rnacentral:RNase_P_RNA from 1 species